rnacentral:lncRNA from 1 species
AAGAAGACAGCGCAGAAGGGGUUGGACAACUACCACGCCAAGUACAUUGAGACCAGCUCCAUCGAUCCUCUUCUUCACGUAUGCUUCGGCGGCAUGGUAUUCUCUUACCUCGUCGUUCUACCCGAGGAGCGUCGCCAUCUCGAGCACGCCCAGCACGCCAAAGAGCACGGCGGCCAUUAAUCCAUUCAUUUGGUACUUGUUUCUGGCUGAGAUUGUUUAUUUUUCCUUUCGCAAAUUGGUGGUUUUGUUUUCGGGCAUUUCGCUCUGUCUUUCUGCUAUGUUAAUUUUUUGUAUCUCUUCAUGGUUGGUUAAGUUUUGCACUUUCGUAGAUAUCUGGGAUUACUUGUUUGAUGAUUUGAUUGCAGAUGUUCUCCUGCGUAUCGCUUUAGUUGAGGAAAAAAAAUGCUGUGAAUGUGGUUUUUUUUUAUAAUUCGUUUUAUAUGAUGGUAGUGUUGGAGGUAGAAACAGGAUCAUGUGAUUUGUAUUGGCUUCUUAGGAGUGUUGACAAUAGGUUAAGUAAUCUGGUUGUGGAGGUUGCUUAAGUUUUGAAUUAUAAUUGAGGUGUACCUUGAGUUGAACCAGAGCUAUUAGGUUAGUUGCUAUUGUACCUGAUUGAGCAGCAGCCCGAUUGACUUUAGAAUUGCAUUUGUGUUAGCCUUUCACAUGUGAUCCAACUGCUAUGGAAAGUGUGCAGUCCAGUUUCUAAGAUGAGUGAUAAUGACUCAAAACCAGUUUCUGAAAAAUUUACCAGUUUUUAUGGUAAAAAAAUUUUUGGUAAAUUUAUCCAUCUUUCACCACGUAUUUGAUCACAGUUAGACGGCUUAUUGGUUUCUUUUAACUGAUUUUGUGCAAAGACAAUAUUUGAAUGAGGUGACUAUUCAGAUAGUCUGAUUACAUUUUAUAUGAGCCUAUAGUAUUAUGCACUUCCUAAAAAUUUAUUUGCUUACAGACACACACACAUCUAUAUUGUACAUAUUUGUGUGUUGCUUACAAGGUUUCUCUUUCAUGUUUUAUGAGCACUGAUCGCUGAACUGAAUUUGUUAGCUAACAAGACUUGGGUGCACCAAAAUUAUCGGGCCUAUGUUUUUUAUAAUGUUGUACUAUGCUAGAAAUUAUACCUCUUGUCAUGAUUGAAACCCCUCUAUAUUUAUGGCUUCCCUUGACUGCAAAAUGUUUGUACUGCGCUACUCAAAGCAUCCUACCACUCUCUUAACAAACCUCUUGGUCUAGUUUAUCCCUUGUAUUCAUGGAAGUAACGUUCACUUCAAAAUUUUGCAGGUUAAUGAGGCGGUUUGGGUGCAGUUCAUCGUAUCAUUGUGGUACAAUAAAGUCACUUGGACAUUGGGUAUUAUACCUAUUCUGUAAUUUGACUAUUA